GACGAACCGUGCGAACGUUAUUCGGAAUCACUGGGCUUAAAGCGCGUGUAGGCGGGAGGGCACGUCCGUUGCUGAAAUCCCCCGGCUCAACCGGGGAACGGGCGCGGAUACGACUCUCCUUGAGGGGCGUAGGGGGACCUGGAACUUCCGGUGGAGCGGUGAAAUGCGUUGAGAUCGGAAGGAACGCCCGUGGCGAAAGCGAGCCCCUGGACGUCUACUGACGCUGAGACGCGAAAGCCAGGGGAGCGAACAGG
rnacentral:rRNA from 1 species